UACGAAGGGUGCAAGCGUUACUCGGAAUUACUGGGCGUAAAGCGUGCGUAGGCGGUUUGUUAAGUCUGUUGUGAAAGCCCCGGGCUCAACCUGGGAAUGGCAAUGGAAACUGGCGAGCUAGAGUACGGUAGAGGAGAGUGGAAUUCCCGGUGUAGCAGUGAAAUGCGUAGAGAUCGGGAGGAACAUCAGUUGCGAAGGCGGCUCUCUGGACCAGUACUGACGCUGAGGCACGAAAGCGUGGGGGAGCAAACAGG
rnacentral:rRNA from 1 species